UACGAAGGGGGCUAGCGUUGCUCGGAAUCACUGGGCGUAAAGCGCACGUAGGCGGGUCCUUAAGUCAGGGGUGAAAUCCUGGAGCUCAACUCCAGAACUGCCCUUGAUACUGAGGAUCUCGAGUUCGGGAGAGGUGAGUGGAACUGCGAGUGUAGAGGUGAAAUUCGUAGAUAUUCGCAAGAACACCAGUGGCGAAGGCGGCUCACUGGCCCGAUACUGACGCUGAGGUGCGAAAGCGUGGGGAGCAAACGGG
rnacentral:rRNA from 1 species